rnacentral:rRNA from 1 species
GAUGAACGCUGGCGGCGUGCUUAACACAUGCAAGUCGAACGGGAAACCUUUUAUUGAAGCUUCGGCAGAUUUAGCUGGUUUCUAGUGGCGGACGGGUGAGUAACGCGUGGGUAACCUGCCUUAUACAGGGGGAUAACAACCAGAAAUGGUUGCUAAUACCGCAUAAGCGCACAGGACCGCAUGGUCCGGUGUGAAAAACUCCGGUGGUAUAAGAUGGACCCGCGUUGGAUUAGCUAGUUGGCAGGGUAACGGCCUACCAAGGCGACGAUCCAUAGCCGGCCUGAGAGGGUGAACGGCCACAUUGGGACUGAGACACGGCCCAGACUCCUACGGGAGGCAGCAGUGGGGAAUAUUGCACAAUGGGGGAAACCCUAAUGCAGCGACGCCGCGUGAAGGAAGAAGUAUCUCGGUAUGUAAACUUCUAUCAGCAGGGAAGAUAGUGACGGUACCUGACUAAGAAGCCCCGGCUAACUACGUG